rnacentral:lncRNA from 1 species
AUCUUCUUCUUCUUCUUCUUCUUCUUCUUCUUGUUCUUCUUCUUCUUGUUCUUCUUCUUCCACUUCUUCUUCUUGUUCUUGUUGUUCUUCUUGUUCUUCUUGUUCUUCUUCUUCUUCUUCCACUUCUUCUUCUAAUUGCUUAGCUUAAUUUAGAUAACUUCUUUCUUAUUGUAUUAUUCUUCUAACUUCUUUCUCAUUAUGCAGAUUUUGAUAAAGCAGCAUGGCAUAUGGAUG